rnacentral:rRNA from 1 species
GACGAACGCUGGCGGCGUGCUUAACACAUGCAAGUCGAACGGAAAGGCCCUGCUUUUGUGGGGUGCUCGAGUGGCGAACGGGUGAGUAACACGUGAGUAACCUGCCCUUGACUUUGGGAUAACUUCAGGAAACUGGGGCUAAUACCGGAUAGGAGCUCCUGCUGCAUGGUGGGGGUUGGAAAGUUUCGGCGGUUGGGGAUGGACUCGCGGCUUAUCAGCUUGUUGGUGGGGUAGUGGCUUACCAAGGCUUUGACGGGUAGCCGGCCUGAGAGGGUGACCGGCCACAUUGGGACUGAGAUACGGCCCAGACUCCUACGGGAGGCAGCAGUGGGGAAUAUUGCACAAUGGGCGGAAGCCUGAUGCAGCAACGCCGCGUGCGGGAUGACGGCCUUCGGGUUGUAAACCGCUUUCGCCUGUGACGAAGCGUAAGUGACGGUAAUGGGUAAAGAAGCACCAGCUAACUACGUG